rnacentral:snRNA from 1 species
AUACUUACCCGGCAGGGGAGAUACCAUGAUCAUGAAGGUGGUUUUUCCAGGGUGAGGCUCAUCCAUUGCACUUUGGGUGUGCUGAUCCCUGUGAUCCCCAAAUGUGGGAAACUCAACUGCAUAAUUUGUGGUAGUGGGGGACUGCGUUUGCGCUUUCCUCUG